UCUCGGCACGAAAUCGUCUGAUGAAAAUCUGAGGUGCCCGACGCAUAACAUUUUGAACGUGCCACGGAGGAUCAAGGCAAAAAACGAGAGCAAAAAAUGGUGCACGCUGAAGGCGGAAAUGAAGCAUGAUCUGGCUUGCAUCUGGUCAUGAAGAAAUUGCUGACACGUUAGUUGCAGUCCACCUCCACCAACAGGGUGGAAAACAAAGAUCGCCAUUCCGAUUAGCUGCUAUCUCCCAGUUCAAGCACUUUUGUGUCUGGACACUGGUUCCUGUGGAUGGGGUGUUACAAGCUUUACUGUCUGAUAUAGAAGUGAUGAGCAUCCAUAAGGACACAUGCCAGAAAGGGAGUCUCUUUGGGAUGACAAACCCUCAUCACCUCAUGAGGAUACAAUGGUUGACGAAUGGUUCUCAAGCACAUCGAAACUUCCAACAAAUAAUUCAUGAAAAAGCCAGUCAGUGCUAGCACCAGGAAUUGAACGUGGGCCAUCCUGCUAGCAGUCAGAGAUGUUCAGUGGUGUAGCCACGAGGGGGCUAGGGGGUCUCGAGCCCCCCCUACCUGCCACGGACCGACCCACACAAAUCGUGCAAAUCCGA